rnacentral:lncRNA from 1 species
AUCAGAGGGAGGCUGGAGCAGGAACAUGGGGACAGGAGCAUCUGGGGUAUUUCCAGCACUGGAAAGGAAAUGCUCUGUUGAAAAAGGUGACAAUAAUUGAACUACAUGUGAAAGUGACCGUAAACCACUCAGAUGUAUCCCAUGGAAAAGAAACCAACAGCAUCCACAUCUCUACCUCCCAUUAGCUGUAUCCCCGAAGCAGCCGAACCACCCACCUGAGGGGAAGGGUGACAGAGAGGACGCAGAAUGGAGGAAACAGCAGUCUUAACCUUGGAUGCAUCAUUAUGGGCUGUGUGUUGGGCAAGGAGAUCUUGCAGCAACAGUACCACUCAGGACACAAUUGGGAAAUUCUCUUCCGACGUUUCUGCACCUAGAAGUUUCUGCCAAGUGGUCACUGUGUUCAGAUCUUCAGGAAUUCUAUGGCAAUGCCUAAUACAUGGUGGGCCCUCAAUCAACUUUGGAUUAAUCUGAAAAAGAUAUAAUGAAUAAAUAAAUAAAUGACUGGAGGAAGAAUCUGAGUUUCCUGUAGCCCACUUCUGUUUGAGAUUCUGUUUGUUCUGUGUGAGAAUUAUGAUUUUAUGUAUGAGAAUUAUGAUUAUCAUCCAGUGAGAUACCUGGGCCAUUUUUCUGUAGUUUGAAAAACAGAUGGACUUAAAAAUAUUUUACUGCAGCAGUGGAAGCAUCAUACUUCCAAUUGGCAGUUACUUAACCCUCCACUUAGGGCAAAUCAAAGUUGGAAUAGAAGAUAUUUAGUCAUGGAAGGGAAAGAAUGUAGGAUAUUUGAGUAUGGAAGGGAAAGUAGUAACUUCCACAAACUGAGACAUAGAGAACAAAACGAGCCAUUGCCCACACACUCUGCCUCUCA